ACUUCUGCUUGUUGAAUUAUUGUAUAAAUCAUUAGUUGAUUCAUCACUAUGAAAAUUCAGGAAUGCCGGCUAUAAUGUGCUAUGCUGAUCAGGUGUCUGCUGUGCUCUGAUUUUGGCAUCAAUAUGGUGACCUCCCAGGAGCAGGGGACCACUGGGUUGCCUAACGAGGGGCAAACCAGCCCAGGUCGGAAAUGGAGCAGGUCAGAACUCCCAAGCUGCUCAGUAGCAGCAUUGCACCUGUGAAUAGUCACUGCCCUCCAGCAUGGGCAACAUAGUAAGACCCU
ensembl:misc_RNA Metazoa_SRP Metazoan signal recognition particle RNA